AGCGAACGCUGGCGGCAGGCUUAACACAUGCAAGUCGAACGGGCUUCUUCGGAAGUCAGUGGCAGACGGGUGAGUAACACGUGGGAACGUGCCCUUCGGUUCGGAAUAACUCAGGGAAACUUGAGCUAAUACCGGAUACGCCCUUUUGGGGAAAGGUUUACUGCCGAAGGAUCGGCCCGCGUCUGAUUAGCUUGUUGGUGGGGUAACGGCCUACCAAGGCGACGAUCAGUAGCUGGUCUGAGAGGAUGAUCAGCCACACUGGGACUGAGACACGGCCCAGACUCCUACGGGAGGCAGCAGUGGGGAAUAUUGGACAAUGGGCGCAAGCCUGAUCCAGCCAUGCCGCGUGAGUGAUGAAGGCCUUGGGGUUGUAAAGCUCUUUUGUCCGGGACGAUAAUGACGGUACCGGAAGAAUAAGCCCCGGCUAACUUCGUG
rnacentral:rRNA from 1 species